rnacentral:lncRNA from 1 species
UUAUCGGACCACAGAUGAAUUAUCACGUUGUGAUUGGUUAAACGCUGUCACGUGGUGACCCCCUAUGAGACGGUAUGGGGUUAGUAAGUUUCAUAUGGGGUUCAUGACACGUUAAUGGCGACGUCAUCUAUUAAUGUUGUUGUGUUUCAUUGUUUAUUUUUCAACAAAACGCCGCAGAAAAAGUCCAGCGUCCGAUAAAUUCGUUAUACGGUUAACUAAUG